UAAGGAGGAUCCGAGCGUUAUCCGGAUUUAUUGGGUGUAAAGGGUGCGUAGAUGGAUAAACAAGUUGGUUGUGAAAUCCCUCGGCUUAACUGAGGAAUUGCAACCAAAACUGUAGAUCUUGAGUACUGGAGGGGAAAGCGGAAUUCCUAGUGUAGCGGUGAAAUGCGUAGAUAUUAGGAAGAACACCGGUGGCGAAGGCGGCUUUCUGGACAGAAACUGACAUUGAGGCACGAAAGUGUGGGGAGCAAAAAGG
rnacentral:rRNA from 1 species